AUUUUGUUGGUAUUGAGUAUGGCAUAAGAUUGUGCUUCCACCCAUUUGGUGAAAUAAUCUAUGGCAAUGAGGAUAAAUUCAUGUCUGUUUCG